UACGUAGGGGGCGAGCGUUGUCCGGAUUCAUUGGGCGUAAAGCGCUUUAAGGCGGUUCGCUAAGUCGGGUGGGAAACCUCCAGGCUCAACCUGGAGACGCCACUCGAUACUGGCGUGACUAGAGUUCGGUAGGGGACCACGGAAUUCCUGGUGUAGCGGUGAAAUGCGCAGAUAUCAGGAGGAACACCGGUGGCGAAGGCGGUGGUCUGGGCCGACACUGACGCUGUAGAGCGAAAGCGUGGGGAGCGAACAGG
rnacentral:rRNA from 1 species